rnacentral:rRNA from 1 species
AGCGGAGGAAAAGAAACCAACCGGGAUUGCCUCAGUAACGGCGAGUGAAGCGGCAAGAGCUCAAAUUUGAAAUCUGGCCCCUCCGGGGUCCGAGUUGUAAUUUGCAGAGGAUGCUUCGGGUGCGGCCCCUGUCUAAGUGCCCUGGAACGGGCCGUCAGAGAGGGUGAGAAUCCCGUCUUGGGCAGGGUGCCCGUGCCCGUGUGAAGCUCCUUCGACGAGUCGAGUUGUUUGGGAAUGCAGCUCAAAAUGGGUGGUAAAUUUCAUCUAAAGCUAAAUACCGGCCGGAGACCGAUAGCGCACAAGUAGAGUGAUCGAAAGAUGAAAAGCACUUUGAAAAGAGAGUUAAACAGCACGUGAAAUUGUUGAAAGGGAAGCGCUUGCAACCAGACUCGGCCUCGGGGUUCAGCCAGCAUUCGUGCUGGUGUACUUCCCCGGGGCCGGGCCAGCGUCGGUUUGGGCGGCCGGUCAAAGGCCCCAGGAAUGUAUCGUCCUCCGGGACGUCUUAUAGCCUGGGGUGCAAUGCGGCCAGCCUGGACCGAGGAACGCGCUUCGGCACGGACGCUGGCGUAAUGGUCGCAAACGACCCGUCUUGAAACACGGACCAAGGAGUCUAACAUCUACGCGAGUGUUCGGGUGUCAAACCCGUACGCGCAGUGAAAGCGAACGGAGGUGGGAGCCCCCCCGGGGCGCACCAUCGACCGAUCCUGAUGUCUUCGGAUGGAUUUGAGUACGAGCGUAGCUGUGGGGACCCGAAAGAUGGUGAACUAUGCCUGAAUAGGGUGAAGCCAGAGGAAACUCUGGUGGAGGCUCGCAGCGGUUCUGACGUGCAAAUCGAUCGUCAAAUUUGGGUAUAGGGGCGAAAGACUAAUCGAACCAUC